AUUGAACGCUGGCGGCAGGCCUAACACAUGCAAGUCGAACGGUAACAGGAAGCAGCUUGCUGCUUCGCUGACGAGUGGCGGACGGGUGAGUAAUGUCUGGGAAACUGCCUGAUGGAGGGGGAUAACUACUGGAAACGGUAGCUAAUACCGCAUAACGUCGCAAGACCAAAGAGGGGGACCUUAGGGCCUCUUGCCAUCGGAUGUGCCCAGAUGGGAUUAGCUAGUAGGUGGGGUAACGGCUCACCUAGGCGACGAUCCCUAGCUGGCCUGAGAGGAUGACCAGCCACACUGGAACUGAGACACGGUCCAGACUCCUACGGGAGGCAGCAGUGGGGAAUAUUGCACAAUGGGCGCAAGCCUGAUGCAGCCAUGCCGCGUGUAUGAAGAAGGCCUUCGGGUUGUAAAGUACUUUCAGCGGGGAGGAAGGGAGUAAAGUUAAUACCUUUGCUCAUUGACGUUACCCGCAGAAGAAGCACCGGCUAACUCCGUG
rnacentral:rRNA from 1 species